rnacentral:rRNA from 1 species
AUUAUUGGUAAAUUAUUAUUUGGUUGUUGUAUUGUUAUUGAUUUGAUUAGUUUUAUUAUAUUUUAUUUGUACUGUGAGGGGGAGAAUUGUGUAUAAUUUUGUUUUUGUAAGUUGAUUUUAUUUGUUGUACCUUGUGUAUCAGGUUUUAUUAAUUUUUAUUAUUUAUUUUUUGUUUCCCGAUUUCAGAGGGGUUAAUUGAUUAUUUUAGUUGCUGUUUCAUCAGCAUUAAUAAUAUUUUGUUGGUGAUGAGAUGUCAAACGUUUCUGGGGAUAUCUGGUUCCCUAAGAAAUAAAUUUAAUUUACACUUUAUGUUUAGUUUUCCUUUUUUAUUGUUUUAUUUUACAUGUAGUGAAGAUUCUGGGGGAUAAGCUUCGGUUUUUGUUUCUAUAAUUGUUAUAGGGUGGAUUUUUGUGGGCUUUAUGUUGGCUAUCAAUUUGAGUAUGUUAAAAUUUUUCUCUUUCUGUUUUUGAUUUUUUUUGUAAUUUAGGUUUUUAUUAGGGUGUUUAGUAUUAUUUUUCUUCUAUUGUGAUUUUGGUAGAAUUAGUAUAUUUUUCUUUAUUUGGUUUUGUUUGUUUUGUUAGAUUUUUAAAAGGAAUUAGGCAAAGUGAAGUGUGCCCGCCUGUUUAGCAAAAACAUCUCUUCUUGUAAGGUAUUUUGAAGUAGGACCUGCCCACUGAUGAAUAUUUGAAGGGCCGCGGUAUCUUGACCGUGCAAAGGUAGCAUAAUCAUUAGUCUUUUAAUUGGAGGCUAGAAUGAAUGGUUUGACGAGGUAUCAACUGUCUUUUAUUGAAUAGGUAUGGAAUUUAAUUUUUGGGUAAAAAUGCCUAAAUUUUUUUAUGGGACGAGAAGACCCUAUAGAGUUUUAUGUAGUUUGGUUAUUUAUGUGUCUGUUUAUUGUUUGUUGACUUUUCUACAUUUUGUUGGGGUGAUGGGAAGAUACUUAUAACUCUUCUUUAUUGUGUUACAUUUAUUUAUGUUUAUUAUGAUUCUUUAUUAUUGAUUGUAAGAUCAAAUUACCUUAGGGAUAACAGCGUAAUCUUUUUUGAGAGUUCUUAUCGACAAAAGGGUUUGCGACCUCGAUGUUGGAUUAAGAUGAAUUUUUGGCGUAGAGGUUUUAAUUAAUUUAUAUUAGGUCUGUUCGACCUUUAAAAUCUUACAUGAUCUGAGUUCAGACCGGCGUGAGCCAGGUUGGUUUCUAUCUAUAAUUUUGUUUAAUUCUUUAGUACGAGAGGACCAUGAAUUUGGAAUAAUUUUAUUUUCUUUGUGAUUUUUAUUAAUUU